CCAUGGGAGCCUCGCACUGCUGGAAAAGGAACUGCUGCUGCUGGAGAUCAACGGCAGGGGCCAGGGCCGGAUCUUCAUCCUCUGUGCUGAAGUAGCGCUCGAUCAGGUCAAAAGCCUUCUGGUAGAUCUCCUGGUUCUCAUGACCCUGUAGAAACUCCAGUUUGUCCAACCCUGAUGGAAAGGAAUAGGAAAAGUCUUACAGCAGCAGCUCCACUAGUCUGCGGCAGACUCCUGAGUCAAUAACAGCCUGGAUCUUCUCAUUGGGACCAUCAGACAGAUAAGAAAGAGCCCAGCAUGCAUCAGCCAAAAUGUCGGUAUCAUUCACAAAGAGCAGCCAGGACAGAACGCUGAGACACGGCGACACCUGCAUUAAAAAACAAAUACAACUCAGAUAAAGGUAUCCACUGUCCGACAUCCCAUCAUCCUCCAGUGUUCCGUCCUCCUGCACUGUGGCCACAUUUCUGCGCUUGAACAGCUGUAAGAACACAAACUCUCAGCUCACUGUGCUCAAUAAAAAUACCAACAUGCGCCACAUAUCAGUACUAAUGUUGCAUUUCUUUCCUUUGAAGGAGCAAGCGAGCUAUGUUUUUAUUAUCGUUAAAAUAUUUUCUCCUGUAUUGUAUCUGUAGGAUGAUUCUCUUAAACAUUGUAAAUACUGUGAUUUUAAUAAGAUGCUACUGUUU